rnacentral:rRNA from 1 species
AGGCGACGACGGGUAGCCGGCCUGAGAGGGCGACCGGCCACACUGGGACUGAGACACGGCCCAGACUCCUACGGGAGGCAGCAGUGGGGAAUAUUGCACAAUGGGCGCAAGCCUGAUGCAGCGACGCCGCGUGAGGGAUGACGGCCUUCGGGUUGUAAACCUCUUUCAGCAGGGAAGAAGCGAGAGUGACGGUACCUGCAGAAGAAGCGCCGGCUAACUACGUGCCAGCAGCCGCGGUAAUACGUAGGGCGCAAGCGUUGUCCGGAAUUAUUGGGCGUAAAGAGCUCGUAGGCGGCUUGUCGCGUCGGUUGUGAAAGCCCGGGGCUUAACCCCGGGUCUGCAGUCGAUACGGGCAGGCUAGAGUUCGGUAGGGGAGAUCGGAAUUCCUGGUGUAGCGGUGAAAUGCGCAGAUAUCAGGAGGAACACCGGUGGCGAAGGCGGAUCUCUGGGCCGAUACUGACGCUGAGGAGCGAAAGCGUGGGGAGCGAACAGGAUUAGAUACCCUGGUAGUCCACGCCGUAAACGGUGGGCACUAGGUGUGGGCAACAUUCCACGUUGUCCGUGCCGCAGCUAACGCAUUAAGCGCCCCGCCUGGGGAGUACGGCCGCAAGGCUAAAACUCAAGGAAUUGACGGGGGCCCGCACAAGCGGCGGAGCAUGCGGAUUAAUUCGAUGCAACGCGAAGAACCUUACCUGGGUUUGACAUAUGCGAGAACCCUCUAGAGAUAGAGGGCUCUUUGGACACUCGCAUACAGGUGGUGCAUGGCUGUCGUCAGCUCGUGUC